GACGAACCGUGCGAACGUUGUUCGGAAUCACUGGGCUUAAAGGGCGCGUAGGCGGGCAAGCAAGUCCGGGGUGAAAGCCCCCAGCUCAACUGGGGAAGUGCCUUGGAAACUGCUUGUCUAGAGGGAGGUAGGGGCAUGUGGAACUUCGGGUGGAGCGGUGAAAUGCGCAGAUAUCAGGAGGAACACCGGUGGCGAAGGCGGGUCUCUGGGCCGAUUCUGACACUGAGGAGCGAAAGCGUGGGGAGCGAACAGG
rnacentral:rRNA from 1 species